rnacentral:rRNA from 1 species
AGGAUUAACGCUGGCGGCGUGCCUAAUGCAUGCAAGUCGAACGUGGCGCCUUCGGGCGUUAACGUGGCGGACGGGUGAGGAACACGUGGGGAACCUGCCCAUUGGUGGGGGGUAGCCCGCGGAAACGCGGGGUAAUUCCGCAUACGCUGGUCUGGGGAUAGCCUGGAUCAGGAAAGGGUCUUCGGACUCGCCGAUGGAGGGGCCUGCGUCCGAUUAGCUUGUUGGUGGGGUAACGGCCUACCAAGGCUUUGAUCGGUAGCUGGUCUGAGAGGACGGCCAGCCACAGGGGAACUGAGACACGGUCCCCACUCCUACGGGAGGCAGCAGCAAGGAGUUUUCCGCAAUGGGCGAAAGCCUGACGGAGCAACGCCGCGUGGGGGAUGACGACCGUUUCGGGGCGUUAAACCCCGUUUUCGUUGGGACGAAGCAGUGACGGUACCGAGGAAGAAGGCCCGGCUAACUACGUGCCAGCAGCCGC